rnacentral:rRNA from 1 species
UACGAAGGGGGCUAGCGUUGCUCGGAAUCACUGGGCGUAAAGGGUGCGUAGGCGGGUUUUUAAGUCAGGGGUGAAAUCCUGGAGCUCAACUCCAGAACUGCCUUUGAUACUGAAGAUCUUGAGUCCGGGAGAGGUGAGUGGAACUGCGAGUGUAGAGGUGAAAUUCGUAGAUAUUCGGUGGAACACUAGUGGCGAAGGCGACUCGCUGGACUGAUACUGACGCUGAGGUGCGAAAGCGUGGGGAGCAAACAGG